rnacentral:lncRNA from 1 species
CAGGGAGAGGCACCUUGAAUGGAAUGAGGCCGCCAGGCCAUGGGGCUCUAGACCCCAGGCCAUUAGCUUCGACCCUGCCCAGUCCCAGAGAGCCACCAUAAACCUUGUUCCACGCCCCAUCAGCUCCAACAGAUGCUGAGAGAAUUGGUUGGAUCUGAGAGUGUAGACCUACCACCCUCUGUCUCUUCACCGGCAAGUGAAGUGAAGUCACUGCUGUGUGCCACUUUUCCUUUAUCUUCUGAGACCAUUCUUGGAACGUCCAUUAGAAUAUGAUUGAUGUCAUUAAGAAGCCAAAUAUAAAAGACUAUGCCAAAAAAGAUCAGCAUCAGAACAAGGAGAAAUCACAUGAUAGGCUCCAUCUUCCCUCGUCGUCAUGUCUGCAGAUUUUCCAUUGUGUAAGGAAGCUAGCCUAGCCCCAGGAGCAGAGCCAGUGAGUGUCUGCAGGUUUUCCAUUGUGUAAGGAAGCUAGCCUAACCAGGGGAUGAAAGGGGUCAGUGUCCACAGGGUUUUCCCUGCUGUAACAACUGAGAGUUUUUCGUUCCUUUGAGCCCCACUUUGAAAACUCUCUGCCUCAUAACUGCAGGGUGCGGGGCCCAGGGCCGGUUCUGCAGAGGCUGCACUCUGGAGCAGUCAGUGAUGGAGCUCAGGCUGGCCCUAAACAAUGAGGACCAGGAUCCUUGGGAUGGCCCUACCUGUGGAAUAAAUGGAUACAAAACCCACUACUGGGAGCCAGGCCUCAUAUCAGGUGUUUGUCAGGUGCGUCUGUUUGAAGAGGAG